GACGAACGCUGGCGGCGUGCUUAACACAUGCAAGUCGAGCGGAGAAGCGACUUCCUUGUUGGUGGGAGGGGAGGGGUGGAGAACGGGGGAAUAACACGAGAGUAAACUGACAACUUCGUCUGGAUAACCGCAAGCAAGUGUGGCUAAUACGGGAUAUACUGAAUCUCAUGCAUCAUUGGUCUGGGAAAGAUUUUGUUUCGCUGGGGGAUGGGCUCGCGGCGUAUUAGCUUGUUGGUAAGGUAAUGGCUUACCAAGGCGACGACGCGUAGCCGCCCUGAGAGGAUGAUCGGCCGCACUAGAGCUGAGACACGGUCCAGACUCCUACGGGGGGCAGCAGUAGGGAAUCUUCCGGCACGGGCGGCAGCCUGACGGAGCAACGCCGCGUGAGUGAUGAUGGUCUUCGGAUCGUAGAACUCUGUUAUUGGGGAAGAAGAAAUGUGUAAGUAACUGUGCACGUCUUGACGGUACCUGGUCAGAAAGCCCCGGCUAACUACGUG
rnacentral:rRNA from 1 species